CUAUCUUGGGGUCUGGAUUGGGAUCCCUUUCCAGUAACAAUACUGCUGAUGUCAUAAACGCCCCUUCACCAAUACACUUACACACAUAUGUCUCUUCCAUGUCGUCAAAGGGUAUUAACUCCCUGGGCCUCUCUAAGGUAGCAGACGGAACCAAAGUCCAUGUUGGAUAAUCAUUUAAUCAUUUAUGAAGUAAUAGAGCAGAAAGCGCUUCAAGUUGACAACUGUAGUUUGGAAAUCAAGGAGGCUGUGAUGGGAACGGAAGUGGAGGUGGUAAAGGCUUCGGCAAUGGUGAUGGAAUUGAUAAGGACUGGUAGGUGGAGGCCUACCGAGGCCCCUUUUUUUUUUGCUUGGCGCUGUCUUCUCUGAAAUUUGAAGGUAGAGAAAGUGUUGAGAGAGAAAAAAGUGCAUCAGACGCAGAUAAGAAUUGGAGAGAUAAAGGAUGUGUGAAGAGCAACCACCUUCAGACCGAAGAACUGGAGCCCUGGGGUUAUGCAGAGACUUUCCUAAGGACACAGGACACAGAUGGUUCUGGAGAAUUAAGUUCCACAUCCUCCAUUUCCACGCAUUAAUUUGCCUCGGGAUGUGUCUGCAGCCAAAGGUUUACCCUCAGGAGAGCCAUCCCUCCUGUCCAUUCACUAGAGGAUCUGAAGCUGCCAUUAUCUUAACAUGAUGGGUUAGGAGGUAAAACCUGGCCCAUGCUGGGCCUCCCAGAGGUCUUCCCAGCAUUGCUGACCUGAGCAGGAAGGCAAAUAGGGGGGUGAGAGGGAGAGACCCUUCGCGCUCUGCACUUGAAUCUGUAAUAAUGAAAGACCAAAUCUGAGAGCGGAAAUGCUCCUAGCCUCAUGCAGGAUGAAGCCAACACAGAGAGAAAAUAGUUGGUGGGAGACCAGAAAAGCCCAUGUGGUGCUUGAGUAGCUACCUUUGCCACCACUGACUUACAGCAGCCAAAAAUUCACGGCCAACACUGUUUGAUUUAAUCAUCAGCAAUCAACAGAAUCUUUUAACACAGUUCCAGGGCCAUAGAAAGCACCCAAUAAAUGCUUUUCAAACCUGUUUUCUACUGUUGUGCUUCAGCAAGAAGGAGAAAAGUCAACUAUGCAUGAGAAAUGUGUUCAAAGCCACACUCCAUUGGGGCUCAGUGGGCCACGAAGUCAGCUCACUCCAUCAGCCUCCUGGAGAGCCGUUAAAAUAUAGCAGUGCCCAGAUCCCACCCCGGAUCCCUGAAUGAGAAUCUUUAGGGAUGGGGCCUAGUGCCUGUGUAUUGUUAAAAAUUUCAUGGGUGGAUCCUGACUAAGUAAACACAGGUGCUUAUCUCCACUCCUUCCUAAAACCACAUAAAAUGACAGCAAAAAGAAUUAAGGAGCUAAAAAUAUACAAAAGCAAAAAGAACAGAAGUA
rnacentral:lncRNA from 1 species